rfam:Rahnella aquatilis CIP 78.65 = ATCC 33071, complete genome.
CUUUAACAAUCCGGAACAAGCUGAAAAUUGAAAGUUUACAGCUGAACAUCACUCUCCGUAGCAGUACUGAGUGGUGGAUUAGUCUGUAACAGAGUCUCUCAAAUAAUCGCAAUGCGACGGUGGAAACACCUUCGG